ACCACUCAGGAGAAGAAGAGCCGUCAGGUUCCAUUGACAAAGUCUGAUGUGGCUAGGUUAACGUUAGCUAGGUAUCACUAAUGAUUUUUUUGCAGUGUUGGAUUUUUCCACAUUUCAUUAACUUAAUAUGGGCAAGAGAGACAAUCGAGUGGCUUAUAUUAACCCCAUUGCUGCAGCACGAGCCAGAGGACCAGUACAGAACUCUGGACCAACAAUACAAGAUUAUUUAAGCAGACCUCGGCCAACAUGGGAGGAGUUAAAGGAGCAGCUGGAGAAGAAGAAGAAGGGCUCCAGAGCUCUGGCUGACUUUGAAGACAAAAUGAACGAUAGAUGGAAAAAAGAACUGGCGAAGAACAGAGAGAAGCUCUUAGGAGGGAGUGAAAAAGACAAAGAUAAAGACAAAAAGAUCACAGACAAGGAGAAGGAGGAGAAGAAAGAAAAAAAAGAAAAAAAGAAGAAAGAGAAGAAGAAAUCCAGCAGGCAUUCUUCAUCUUCCUCCUCCUCAUCGAGUUCUGAUUCUUCCAGCAGCUCCUCCUCAGAGUCUGAAGACGAUGAUGAAAAGAAGAAUGUGAAGAAGAAGCGGAAGAGAAGGAAGUCAUCGGUCAGGAGAGCAUCAGACAGCUCAGAGGAAGAAUCUGAUGCUGAUAGCAAGAAGAAGAAGAAAAAAAUCAAGGAAGAAGUGGACAAAGACAAGGAUGACAAGAGCCGCAAAAGAAAAAAGAAGGCCGAGCGAAGCUAUAAAGACUCUACUUCCGAGUCAUCUGCAGACUCUGAAGGGGAAGAGCUGCGUGCUCCCGCUGAAUCGUUCUCAGGCAUGCAAGCGUGCGCGAUGCCAACGGAUCAGCAAGAUCCUGGUCGAAUGAGAGCUUAUCAACCAACCAACCGACUGGAAGGUGUCGGCCUUAGUAACACACCUAGCCACCUAAGGAGCUCUAGCACUGAUGUAAUUCUUUUGGUAAGGUAAAAAGUCAGUGUGAGUCUUGGAAAAUUGAAGACACUGAGCAAGAGCAUGUAGGACAGCUAAGUGGAAGACCCCCCACUAAACUGAUUGAUAACAUUAAAGUCGCAGCAUCGACUCAUUCUUGUGACAUUUUUACUGAUCCAGGGUUCCACAGACUGAGCGUUUGGAUCUUUGAUGUAAAGAUCAGUUACUGAUUGAUAUAGGUUUAUCUCUUCACCACAAGUUCUUAUGUAAUUUACUACUUUAAAUAUUUCCUCAUUCGACACAAUUUUAAUCAGUGAAGCAGUCUUCUUUGUUCCUCUUUUAUGUCUCUGUUCCUUUUUUAUUAUUCAAAUGUAUGAGACAAGAUAUAACAGUCAAAUGGAUGGAUAGUUUUAUUUAAUUUCUACGCUGUUUUUGACUCAAAACAACAGACCGUGGAUUAUUCUUACUCUCAGUUCUCCCUGUAUGCUCAUGUUCUGUCACUCUCUCACUCUACCAACUUAUGUAAGGUUCUCUUCUUCAUUGAGAGUCUUAUUCAUGAUAAUAAAUGGAAAUUAUUUCUCAUUCAGUCUCCACUGCUACUUCAACUCCUUUUUACCAUUUGCAGGAAUUCUUUGAUCAAACGCGGUCUAAAUCAGGAGCAGGGUUGUGACCUCAUGGUAACCCUUGGAUUGACAGGCACUGCAAGUUCAACUCGGGCCACAUUUAAGGUUGCAUGAGACGGACUUCUCUCUCUGAUAGAGAGAGAUUAAGUCAGAGGCCAUUUCUCAAUUCUACCUCGUUGGCACUAGGCCUUGUUUUGGAGUGACUUUGUAGCACUUUUGGAAAGGAGACAACCUGUUUACAAAGUGGACACCAUUAUCAUUUUUAAAAUCAGCUUAAUGCAGGUGACUCAAAAAUUGUUUUAUAAGCUUCUCACUGUCAAAAAAGAUGUAUAAUUCAUUAGCACAUUUAAGUGUCAACAUAAAACAUAUUCAAACCCAUAUUUGUGCAUAAAUACUUGCAGAGAUAUGGCCUCCUUUCAACUCACAAAAAAAAGGUGACAGUGUUGCCUUUAAAAAAAUGUCCUUUACCACAGGAGCUAUUGCUCUAUACUGAAGUCCCCUCUUUGAUAGUUAAAGAUUGCAUUCAAAGCUUUGUGAAACAAGUUACGGGGCUCCACACAGGAUAUUGUCCUGUGUUUUAAUCUUCAGUUACUUUAAUCUGUAGUGGAUAGAGGUGCUGCCUCAGUAGUUCUCAUAAAUGUAAAACCUUUUGGUUCAUAAAGAUGACUCUAUAAAGAGGGUUUAACGUAUAUUUCUUAAACCUGCAUACUGCCGCAGUUGUAUACCUGUGAAGAAAUAAAAAAUUGUGAAAUUGUGGGAGAGAUUGUUGCAAAAAGGGAAUUUUUUUCAACAGUUUGGACCUCAAGACUUCUCUUUUCCAUGUUCUCAUUUGAGCUUUUCUUCCCUACAGGCUGAGGCCAAGAAGAAAAAGAGAAGUAGUGAAGAAAAGGAGAAAAUUACAGACAAAUCAAAGAAGAAGAGGAAAAAGAAGCACAAAAAACACGGCAGGAAAAAGAAAAAGAAGACGGCGUCACAUUCAGACUCUGAGCUCGACUA